rnacentral:misc_RNA from 1 species
AUUUUGCUGUGGCAUAAAAGACUUGCCCAUGCUUCAAUAGGAUCUAUGAAAGACUUGUUAGGCUAUAAUGUUGAUGCUUGUAAAAUGCUUUGAACAAUUGUGAAAUAUGUCCUCUAGCUAGACACACUAGACUACCUUUCACUAGUAGUAACACUAGGUCUUCUGAAGUGUUUGUUUUAUUGCAUUUGGAUGUAUGGGGUCCUUAUAAUAUUCCAACAUUUGAUGGAAAUAAA